rnacentral:rRNA from 1 species
AUACCGCAUAAGACCACGAUUUCUCUAGCGAUCGAGGUCAAAGGUAGCCUCAUCAGUCAAAGUGUUUACGUGGUUAUUUCCUUUGGAAAUAUGGACGUGAAUGCUUUACCGAGAGAAGCUGUCGCUGAAGGAGGGGCUCGCGUCCCAUCAGCUAGUUGGUAGGGUAAUGGCCUACCAAGGCUACGACGGGUAGCUGGUCUAAGAGGACGGCCAGCCACACGGGAAUUGAGAUACGGUCCCGACUCCUACGGGAGGCAGCAGUAGGGAAUAUUGGGCAAUGGACGCAAGUCUGACCCAGCCAUGCCGCGUGCAGGAAGAAGGCCUUCUGGG